GUUUGAUCCUGGCUCAGAUUGAACGCUAGCGGGAUGCCUUACACAUGCAAGUCGAACGGCAGCACGGACUUCGGUCUGGUGGCGAGUGGCGAACGGGUGAGUAAUGUAUCGGAACGUGCCCAGUAGCGGGGGAUAACUACGCGAAAGCGUAGCUAAUACCGCAUACGCCCUACGGGGGAAAGCAGGGGAUCGCAAGACCUUGCACUAUUGGAGCGGCCGAUAUCGGAUUAGCUAGUUGGUGGGGUAACGGCUCACCAAGGCGACGAUCCGUAGCUGGUUUGAGAGGACGACCAGCCACACUGGGACUGAGACACGGCCCAGACUCCUACGGGAGGCAGCAGUGGGGAAUUUUGGACAAUGGGGGAAACCCUGAUCCAGCCAUCCCGCGUGUGCGAUGAAGGCCUUCGGGUUGUAAAGCACUUUUGGAAGGAAAGAAACGUCGUGGGUUAAUACCCCGCGAAACUGACGGUACCUGCAGAAUAAGCACCGGCUAACUACGUGCCAGCAGCCGCG
rnacentral:rRNA from 2 species